rnacentral:rRNA from 1 species
AUUGACCGCUGGCGGCAGGCCUAACACAUGCAAGUCGAGCGAGCGGCGGACGGGUGAAUAAUGUCUGGGAAACUGCCUGAUGGCGGGGGAUAACUACUGGAAACUGUAGCUAAUACCGCAUACCAUCAGAUGUUCCCAGAUGGGAUUAGCUAGUAGUUGGGGUAACGGCCCACCUAGGAGACGAUCCCUCGCUGGUCUGAGAGGAUGACCAGGAAAGCUGGAACUGAGACACGGUCCAGAAUCCUAAGGUAGGCUGCUCUGGGGAGUAUGUCACAAUGAGUGCAAGCGUGAUGCAGGCAUGCCGCGUGUGCUAAGAGGGCCUGCGGGUUGGAUAGGACGUUCAGCGCGGAGGAGGUACCUGCAGAGGAAGCACCGGCGAACUCCGUGACAGCAGCCGCGGUAAUAC